GCUGGGUAGGCGACCCGGACGGAGGGCCGGCGAGGUGCGGGGUCUGGUGAUGCGAGCUGCGCCUCUCGGCAAGAUUUCGCGCUGCCCAUCCCGGGCCCUUUCAUCAGUAAUCGGUAGUGGAUCACUCUGCCAAGCGGCAGGAAGAAUUAAGGAAACGACAAGGAGACGCUCGGCUCUCUCCCGCUUGGCUCCUUGCGGCCUCCUCUUCCCUUCGCUCCGGCCCGGUGAAACUGAACUUAUAAUCGUCACUGGAUUGUAAGUACCCGAGGCGAAGAGAGCUCGCUGAGCCCUGAUUUUUUGAGUGUCUUUGUUCCGGCAGCGGCACCUAGAGGUUGGGACUUGGCAUUGCAUCUGAUUUAAUGAACUUAAGUCUGUGAAUAAGCCUUUGUGUUAACGACUGGUAUUCGGUCACAGCAUAUUUAGAGAAAAGACUUGGAGCUUAAAUAAAAACUAAGGCAAAAUAGACGCUUAGCUGCUGAUCUACAGAGAACUUCUUGUAAUUAAAAGAUUUCAAUUCAUAGCAAACUGGUGUUUUAAACUAUUGCAGUAGCUGGAACUU
rnacentral:lncRNA from 1 species